AGUCAGCGCGGUCCUCCUCCCAUUUCCGUGCUGGCUGUUCCCCUCUGGAGGUUUAUGACCUUCACAAUUAGGCCGGGCUCUUCAGCCCGGCUCUU
rnacentral:sRNA from 1 species